rnacentral:rRNA from 1 species
ACACGACUACAUUAGAUACCCCCGUAGUCCUAGCCGUAAACGAUACUCGCUAGGUGUCGGCCACGGUGCGACCGUUGUCGGUGCCGUAGGGAAGCCGUGAAGCGAGCCACCCGGGAAGUACGGCCGCAAGGCUGAAACUUAAAGGAAUUGGCGGGGGAGCACCACAACGGGUGGAGCUUGCGGUUUAAUUGGAUUCAACGCCGGAAAUCUUACCGGGACCGACAGCAACAUGAAGGCCAGGCUGAAGACUUUGCCGGAUUAGCUG